GAGAAAAGACAAACAAGUUUUGAAAGAGAUCAGAAACAAGACAGAGGAGAUAGAUGAUGAGGUUGUCCAUCUCAAUGGAUAAAUCUUCAUGCUUCCCUUCCAGGAAUCGCCAAUACCAAACGAGUUUCGUCGGAUGAAAAAACGAUGGUUAGUGAUCUUUUGUCAUAAGCACGGGCAAAGCUAACGAUGCGCUAUCAAGAAGUAUCCAAACGUUGCUUAUACUGAACAAAAAUAGAGUAAAGGCUCGAGAUUCAAGCCAAAUAUUUCAAAACACCUAGCACAGUGGCACCUAAUUGAACCGAACAAAUCCAAACCGGCUUUGUAGAGCAGGUUACGCAAAAAGCAGAAAGACUCAAGCUUCUGCAAGAACUGGUGUGUGUAUUUAGUGGCUGGCAGCUACCAAAGCCAUGUGCUCUAUAAGGUCAAGAACUCGGUUGCUGUAAGUAAAAUGGGAGAAGAUUUUUAAGUGUUAGAACUGUUAGCUAGGAUGAGAAAUAUAAGAUGAGAAACAAAAGUGUACCUGUAACCCCAUUCGUUGUCGUACCAAGAGACAAGUUUCAC